AAUGAACGCUGGCGGCAGGCCUAACACAUGCAAGUCGAACGGAUCCUUCGGGAUUAGUGGCGGACGGGUGGGUAACGCGUGGGAACAUACCCUUUGGUACGGAAUAGACUCGGGAAACUGGGAGUAAUACCGUAUGGUGUCGAGAGACAAAGAUUUAUCGCCAAAGGAUUGGCCCGCGUUGGAUUAGGUAGUUGGUGGGGUAAUGGCCUACCAAGCCGACGAUCCAUAGCUGGUUUGAGAGGAUGAUCAGCCACACUGGGACUGAGACACGGGCCAGACUCCUACGGGAGGCAGCAGUGGGGAAUCUUAGACAAUGGGGGAAACCCUGAUCUAGCCAUGCCGCGUGAUCGAUGAAGGCCUUAGGGUUGUAAAGAUCUUUCAGGUGGGAAGAUAAUGACUGUACCACCAGAAGAAGCCCCGGCUAACUCCGUGCCAGCCGCCGCAGUAACAC
rnacentral:rRNA from 1 species